UACGUAGGCAGCGAGCGUUGUCCGAAGUUACUGGGCGUAAAGCGCGCGUAGGCGGGUUGGUAAGUCCGCUGUGAAAGCCCGGAGCUUAACUCCGGAGGGUCGGUGGAUACUGCCAGUCUUGAAGGUGCUAGGGGGAGAUGGAAUUACCGGUGUAGCGGUGAAAUGCGUAGAUAUCGGUAGGAACACCAGUGGCGAAGGCGGUCUCCUGGGGCAUUCUUGACGCUGAGGCGCGAAAGCUGGGGGAGCAAACGGG
rnacentral:rRNA from 1 species